GGCCGAGGCCGGGCCCCCCCCACCGCCAGGCCUGGGGGCCCGGGGUCACUGGGGGAAACAGGCCGCGGUCUUCUGGGCCAGCUAGGCCUGAGAUGGCCUCAUCAGCCGGGCACCCGCCUCCCUCCUGCCCGGGUGGCUGGCCCCAGCUGCCGGCAAGAAGGAAUCUCCCUUAGCCCCGCCCCUCCCCCAGUCUGACACAGGGAGACAGUGGCCAAUGCCAGGCCGCUGGGGUAAUGUCAACAAACAAUCCGCUGGCCCAGACAGGUGGUCCAGGCCGGCAGGGCUGCCCUGAGCCUGCGCUGGGGACAGGACUCACCGUCGCGGCCGCUGGGCCAGACACCCCCGAGGGCCACGCUGUAGCCAGACCUCCCUCGGUGGACCUGCGCUGGCGCCCCUUGCACUCAGGUGGCGGGGGAAGGACAGAAAGCCAGGUUUCCUGUGAGCGGAGCGCCCUCGCCCAUCACCCGCUCCCCCUGCUGCUGAGGCCAGCUCACCUUGAGGAUCUUGAUCUCCUUCCCCAGGAGAGUCUGCGACUUGGCCAGGGAACACGGAUUCAAACCCUGGUCCCGGAAGAUCCCAUAUGCGUCAGAGCAACUAAGCCCAUGCACCACAAAUACUGAACCUGCACUGUAGAGCCCACGAGCCACAACUACUGAAGCCCACGCGCCUAGAGCCCAUACUCCGCAACAAGAGAAGCCACCGCAAUGAGAAACCUGCGCACCGCAACGAAGAGUAGCCCCCACUCGCCACAACUAGAGAAAGGCCGCGCACAGCAACGAAGAUCCAGUGCAGCCAAAAAUAAAUAAAUAAAUUAAUUAAUUAAAAAA